rnacentral:rRNA from 1 species
CGCCGCGUGCGGGAUGAAGGCCUUCGGGUCGUAACCGCUUUUACCAGGAAGGAAAAUGACAGUACCUGGAGAAUAAGGUGCGGCCAACUACGUGCCAGCAGCCGCGGUGACACGUAGGCACCAAGCGUUGUCCGGAUUUAUUGGGCGUAAAGAGCUCGUAGGCGGUUCAGUAAGUCGGGUGUGAAAACUCUGGGCUUAACCCAGAGACGCCACCCGAUACUGCUGUGACUUGAGUCCGGUAGGGGAGUGGGGAAUUCCUGGUGUAGCGGUGAAAUGCGCAGAUAUCAGGAGGAACACCAAUGGCGAAGGCACCACUCUGGGCCGAGACUGACGCUGAGGAGCGAAAGCGUGGGUAGCAAACAGGAUUAGAUACCCUGGUAGUCCACGCCGUAAACGGUGGGCACUAGAUGUGGGUUCCAACCAACGGAAUCCGCGUCGUCGCUAACGCAUUAAGUGCCCCGCCUGGGGAGUACGGCCGCAAGGUUAAAACUCAAAGGAAUUGACGGGGGCCCGCACAAGCAGCGGAGCGUGUAGAUUAAUUCGAUGCUAUGCGAAGAACCUUNACUGGGGUUGACAUGUACGGAAAAGCCA